ACGGGGUGCAGCAGGCGCGAAAACUUUACAAUGCGAGAAAUCGUGAUAAGGGAACCCCGAGUGCCCGUAAAUUCGGGCUGUCCGCCAGUGCAAAAAACUGGUGAAGAAAGAGCCGGGCAAGACCGGUGCCAGCCGCCGCGGUAAUACCGGCGGCUCGAGUGGUGGCCACUAUUACUGGGCUUAAAGCGUCCGUAGCUUGGUUGUUAAGUCUCCUGGGGAAUCCAUCGGCUCAACCGAUGGGCGCUCAGGAGAUACUGGCAACCUAGGGACCGGGAGAGGUGAGAGGUACUCCAGGGGUAGGAGUGAAAUCCUGUAAUCCUUGGGGGACCACCUGUGGCGAAGGCGUCUCACUAGAACGGCUCCGACAGUGAGGGACGAAAGCUGGGGGAGCAAACCGGAUUAGAUACCCGGGUAGUCCCAGCUGUAAACGAUGCGCGUUAGGUGUAUCGGUGACCACGAGUCACCGAGGUGCCGAAGGGAAACCGUGAAACGUGCCGCCUGGGAAGUACGGUCGCAAGGCUGAAACUUAAAGGAAUUGGCGGGGGAGCAC
rnacentral:rRNA from 1 species